UUGACCUCGGAUCAGGUAGGGAUACCCGCUGAACUUAAGCAUAUCAAUAAGCGGAGGAAAAGAAACCAACCGGGAUUGCCUCAGUAACGGCGAGUGAAGCGGCAAGAGCUCAAAUUUGAAAUCUGGCCCCCUCGGGGUCCGAGUUGUAAUUUGCAGAGGAUGCUUCGGGUGCGGCCCCCGUCUAAGUGCCCUGGAACGGGCCGUCAUAGAGGGUGAGAAUCCCGUCUGGGACGGGGUGUCCGCGUCCGUGUGAAGCUCCUUCGACGAGUCGAGUUGUUUGGGAAUGCAGCUCUAAAUGGGUGGUAAAUUUCAUCUAAAGCUAAAUACUGGCCGGAGACCGAUAGCGCACAAGUAGAGUGAUCGAAAGAUGAAAAGCACUUUGAAAAGAGAGUUAAAAAGCACGUGAAAUUGUUGAAAGGGAAGCGCUUGCGACCAGACUCGCCCGCGGGGUUCAGCCGGCAUUCGUGCCGGUGUACUUCCCCGCGGGCGGGCCAGCGUCGGUUUGGGCGGCCGGUCAAAGGCCCCCGGAAUGUAGUGCCCCUACGGGGGCACCUUAUAGCCGGGGGUGCAAUGCGGCCAGCCUGGACCGAGGAACGCGCUUCGGCACGGACGCUGGCAUAAUGGUUGCAAACGACC
rnacentral:rRNA from 1 species